rnacentral:rRNA from 1 species
GAGAGUGGGUUAGUCCGCACGAGCGCAACCUCACUUUUAGUUGCCAUCAUUAAGUUGGGCACUCUGAAAGAACUGCCAGUGAUAAGCUGGAGGAAGGUGGGGAUGACGUCAAGUCCUCAUGGCCCUUACGUGUUGGGCUACACACGUGCUACAAUGGCAUCUACAACAGGAAGCAAAACGGCAACGUUAAGCAAAUCCCGAAAAGAUGCCUCAGUUCGGAUUGCACUCUGCGACUCGAGUGCAUGAAGCUGGAAUUACUAGUAAUCGUAGAUCAGCGUGCUACGGUGAAUGCGUUCCCGGGUCUUGUACACACCGCCCGUCACACCAUGGGAGUUGGUUCUACCUUAAGGCAAGGUUUCAAACCCUUGACCACGGUAUAGUCAGCGACUGGGGUGAAGUCGUAACAAGGUAGCCGUAGGGGAACCUGCGGCUGGAUUACCUCCUUUCU